rnacentral:rRNA from 1 species
GAUGAACGCUGGCGGCGUGCCUAAUACAUGCAAGUCGAGCGAACAGACGAGGAGCUUGCUCCUCUGACGUUAGCGGCGGACGGGUGAGUAACACGUGGAUAACCUACCUAUAAGACUGGGAUAACUUCGGGAAACCGGAGCUAAUACCGGAUAAUAUAUUGCACCGCAUGGUUCAAUAGUGAAAGACGGUUUUGCUGUCACUUAUAGAUGGAUCCGCGCCGCAUUAGCUAGUUGGUAAGGUAACGGCUUACCAAGGCAACGAUGCGUAGCCGACCUGAGAGGGGGAUCGGCCGCACUAGAGCUGAGACGCGGUCCAGACUCCUACGGGAGGCAGCAGUAGGGAAUCUUACGCAGUGGGCGAAAGCUUGACGGAGCAACGCCGCGUGAGUGAUGAAGGUCUUCGGAUCGUAAAACUCUGUUAUGAGGGAAGAACAAAUGUGUAAGUAACUAUGCACGUCUUGACGGUACCUAAUCAGAAAGCCACGGCUAACUACGUG